GACUUUUCCUUACUUCAGCUAAAGAUGGGAAUUCUUUGUCCCACGGCCAUGAAAAUUAGGCUCACAGACAAUUCGAAUGGUUUCAAAGCCUACAAACCCAAUAACUUAGGGAUAAGAGAAGACAGAAAAAUAAAUGAUAUUGUUUCUGCGGUAUUAAAUAUAAGCCUGGCUAUCGGAGCUGCAUGGCGGUCACGAAUCGUAAUCAGGGCAUACAACAGGGAAGAGGGAGAAGGGAAAGAAGAGGAGCUUGUCAGCAGCUUAACAAUAAUUCAUGCAACUGUAUAGGCUUCUGCUCUAAUCAUUCAGAAGAAAGCAGGUGCUGGAAGAUUAUCACUAUGUCCUGGCACAAGCUAAGGAGAAGGGAAAGAAGAGAGAGUGAAUCCUGGAGAAAUGAGACUAGACAUCCAACAAUUCCAGACACUGGCCAAAAAAGCCUUACUCUUAGGUGA
rnacentral:lncRNA from 13 species